AACGGGGGGAACUAGUGUUAUUCGUCAUAACUGGUGCGUAGGAUACGUAGGUGGUAAUGUAAGUUUAGAGUGAAAGACUGUAAUUUCCCUACUUAGCCGCUCUUUAUACUGCAUUCACUUGAGUAUGUUUGGGAUCAGGUACUCUAUAUGGAAAGGUGGAAUUUUUCGAUAUAUAGAGGACCGUCUCUAGAGAAAUCAUGAUUUCCUAUACAUUACUGACGCUAAGGUAUGAAGGCACGGGGAGCAAAGAGG
rnacentral:rRNA from 1 species